GAUCAUGGCUCAGGAUGAACGCUAGCUACAGGCUUAACACAUGCAAGUCGAGGGGCAGCAUGGACUCAGCUUCGCUGGGUUUGAUGGCGACCGGCGCACGGGUGAGUAACGCGUAUCCAACCUGCCCUUUACUCCGGGAUAGUCUCCUGAAAGGAGUUAAUUAACCGGACGUGUGUUUGUUCUUUCCGUCAUGGGAGGCGACAAAUAAAAGAAUUGUAUUGGUUAAAGGGAAUGGGGAGUGCGUCCCACUUAGUCG
rnacentral:rRNA from 1 species